rnacentral:lncRNA from 1 species
UUAUUUGGAUAGUUUUGGUUUUAAAUACCUUAUUUUAAGCCAAGAUGCACAGUAAGCAGUUUUAUGUGGAGAUGGGAACACAAGAGAAGAGAUCAGUCCGUUUAGAUCUAGUUGAGAGUCCUAGAUCCAAAUCACUGGGGAGAAAGAGAUCAAAUGCCAAAAUUUGGAAGCAACCAAGAUGUUCUUCAGUAGGUGAAUGGAUAAACUGUGGUACAUGUAGACAACUGAAUAUUAUUCAGUGACAAAGAGAAAUGAGCUAUCAAGAUAUGAAAAGACAUGAAGUAAUCUUAAAUGCCUAUUACUAAGUGAAAGAAGACAAUCUGAAAAUGUUACAUACUAUAUGAUUCCAAUUAUAUGACACUCUGGAAAAAGAAAAACUUUGGAGACAGUAAAAAUAUCAGUCAGUGGUUGCAAAAGAUUGAGGAGAGGAGGGGAUGAAUAGGCAGACCACAGAGG